GGUUGUGGCUCAGUGGCAGAGCGCUUGCCUAGCCUGUGUGAGGCCCUGGGUUCGAUUCUCAGCACCA
rnacentral:tRNA from 1 species